CGUCGAUUUUAAAUCAACAGACACACGACGUCUGGUUUAAAAAAUUAAACGGAUUUCAAGAUAAACGAUGUUUUCUUGAGAGUUCAUUACAGUUCUCGUCUUUCAAUUAAUUAUGAUUUUGUUGUGGAACUACGGCAAAUGUUGCAAAUUGUGCUUGUAUGAUAAAUUGAUUAAAAUUGAAAGGCUUUUUGACCAAAUGUGUGUAUACAAAUUAAUGUUGAGGACUGUUACGACCCAUUAGGUAAUCUGAUUACAUACAACCACUAAUUAUGACACCUGUUGUGACUGUUGAUUAGGGUAGGGUCGUUAACUUGUCAUAAU
rnacentral:lncRNA from 1 species